rnacentral:rRNA from 1 species
GAAUAAAANGACGNUACGUGUAGCGUUCUGCAUGUACCNUNACGAAUAAGCAUCGGCUAAUUCCGUGCCAGCAGCCGCGGUAAUACGGAAGAUGCGAGCGUUAUCCGGAUUUAUUGGGUUUAAAGGGAGCGUAGGCGGGCUGUUAAGUCAGCGGUAAAAUGUCAAGGCCCAACCUUGUCCUGCCGUUGAAACUGGCGGUCUUGAAUGCACACAAGGGAGAUGGAAUUCGUCGUGUAGCGGUGAAAUGCUUAGAUAUGACGAAGAACUCCGAUUGCGAAGGCAGUCUCCUGGGGUGUAAUUGACGCUGAGGCUCGAAAGUGCGGGUAUCAAACAGGAUUAGAUACCCUGGUAGUCCGCACAGUAAACGAUGAAUGCUGGUUCUUGGCGAUAUACGGUCAGGAACUGAGGGAAACCAUUAAGCAUUCCACCUGGGGAGUACGCCGGCAACGGUGAAACUCAAAGGAAUUGACGGGGGCCCGCACAAGCGGAGGAACAUGUGGUUUAAUUCGAUGAUACGCGAGGAACCUUACCCGGGCUUGAAUUGCAGCUGCAUAGAAUAGAGAUAUUCUUUCCCUUCGGGGCUGCUGUGAAGGUGCUGCAUGGUUGUCGUCAGCUCGUGCCGUGAGGUGUCGGCUUAAGUGCCAUAACGAGCGCAACCCUUGCUGUCAGUUGCCAUCAGGUAAUGCUGGGCACUCUGGCGGGACUGCCAUCGCAAGAUGUGAGGAAGGUGGGGAUGACGUCAAAUCAGCACGGCCCUUACGUCCGGGGCUACACACGUGUUACAAUGGGGAGUACAGAAAGCCGCUUCAUGGCGACAUGAGGCCAAUCUUGAAAGCUCCUCUCAGUUCGGACUGGAGUCUGCAACCCGACUCCACGAAGCUGGAUUCGCUAGUAAUCGCGCAUCAGCCAUGGCGCGGUGAAUACGUUCCCGGGCCUUGUACACACCGCCCGUCAAGCCAUGAAAGCCGGGGGUGCCUGAAGUACGUCACCGCAAGGAGCGUCCUAGCA